rnacentral:rRNA from 1 species
GACGAACGCUGGCGGCAUGCCUAAUACAUGCAAGUCGAGCGAACAGAUGAAGUGCUUGCACUUCUGACGUUAGCGGCGAACGGGUGAGUAACACGUAAGGAAUCUACCUAUAAGCGGGGGAUAACAUUCGGAAACGGGUGCUAAUACCGCAUAAUAUCUUCUUCCGCAUGGAAGAAGAGUGAAAGACGGCUAUGCUGUCACUUAUAGAUGACCUUGCGGUGCAUUAGUUAGUUGGUGGGGUAACGGCCUACCAAGACAAUGAUGCAUAGCCGACCUGAGAGGGUGAUCGGCCACAUUGGGACUGAGACACGGCCCAAACUCCUACGGGAGGCAGCAGUAGGGAAUCUUCCGCAAUGGGCGAAAGCCUGACGGAGCAAUGCCGCGUGAGUGAAGAAGGCCUUCGGGUCGUAAAACUCUGUUAUAAGAGAAGAACAAAUUGUAGAGUAACUGCUACAGUCUUGACGGUAUCUUAUCAGAAAGCCACGGCUAACUACGUGCCAGCCGCCGCGGUAA